GGCGAGCGCCUCAUCGCCUUUGGCGAGAGGCGAGGCGAUGGGUCCUCGCCAUUCUCUGCCGAGGCGAGGCGAUAGCAAAAAGGCGAGGAGUGGCGAGGUGUGGCGCUACAAUGGCGACAGAAAAGGCGCUGCCUUUUUAAUUAAAAAUAUUUGACUUAACAAUAUUAAUCAAAAUUAGGGUUUUUUUUAAUACUUUUGAAAUUUCUGCUUUCUCCAUCGCGACUCUCGCUCUCGAUUGACUCUCUUCUCG
rnacentral:misc_RNA from 1 species